GAUUAGCUAGUUGGUAGGGUAAGGGCCUACCAAGGCGACGAUCGGUAGCUGGUCUGAGAGGAUGGCCAGCCACACUGGAACUGAGACACGGUCCAGACUCCUACGGGAGGCAGCAGUGGGGAAUAUUGGACAAUGGGGGGAACCCUGAUCCAGCAAUGCCGCGUGUGUGAAGAAGGCCUGAGGGUUGUAAAGCACUUUCAGUGGGGAGGAGUGUUUGUAGGUUAAGAGCUAAUGAACAGGACGUUACCCACAGAAGAAGCACCGGCUAACUCCGUGCCAGCAGCCGCGGUAAUACGGAGGGUGCGAGCGUUAAUCGGAAUUACUGGGCGUAAAGGGUGCGUAGGUGGUUGAAUAAGUUAUCUGUGAAAUUCCUGGGCUUAACCUGGGCCGGUCAGAUAAUACUGUUUAACUCGAGUAUGGGAGAGGGUAGUGGAAUUUCCGGUGUAGCGGUGAAAUGCGUAGAGAUCGGAAGGAACACCAGUGGCGAAGGCGGCUACCUGGCCUAAUACUGACACUGAGGCACGAAAGCGUGGGGAGCAAACAGGAUUAGAUACCCUGGUAGUCCACGCUGUAAACGAUGUCAACUAGCUGUUGG
rnacentral:rRNA from 1 species